GAUGAACGCUGGCGGCGUGCCUAAUACAUGCAAGUCGAGCGAACAGAUGAGGAGCUUGCUCCUCUGACGUUAGCGGCGGACGGGUGAGUAACACGUGGAUAACCUACCUAUAAGACUGGGAUAACUUCGGGAAACCGGAGCUAAUACCGGAUAAUAUAUUGAACCGCAUGGUUCAAUAGUGAAAGACGGUUUUGCUGUCACUUAUAGAUGGAUCCGCGCCGCAUUAGCUAGUUGGUAAGGUAACGGCUUACCAAGGCGACGAUGCGUAGCCGACCUGAGAGGGUGAUCGGCCACACGGUAACUGAGACACGGUCCAGACUCCUACGGGAGGCAGCAGUAGGGAAUCUUCCGCAAUGGGCGAAAGCCUGACGGAGCAACGCCGCGUGAGUGAUGAAGGUCUUCGGAUCGUAAAACUCUGUUAUUAGGGAAGAACAAAUGUGUAAGUAACUAUGCACGUCUUGACGGUACCUAAUCAGAAAGCCACGGCUAACUACGUG
rnacentral:rRNA from 1 species